rnacentral:rRNA from 1 species
CCCUUAGAUGUCCUGGGCCGCACGCGCGUUACACUGAUGCAUUCAACGAGCUUAUAACCUUGGCCGAGAGGCCUGGGCAAUCUUGUUAACGUGCAUCGUGCUAGGGAUAGACUAUUGCAAUUAUUGGUCUUCAACGAGGAAUUCCUAGUAGACGUAGUUCAUCAGACUGCAUCGAUUACGUCCCUGCCCUUUGUACACACCGCCCGUCGCUCCUACCGAUUGGAUGAUCCGGUGAGCUAUUCGGACCUUCGCUUCGUCGAUUUUCGGCUUUGUGAGGGAAAGUCUCGCGAACCUUAUCAUCUAGAGGAAGGAGAAGUCGUAACA